UUAAGUUCAGCGGGUAUUCCUACCUGAUCCGAGGUCAACCAUUGAUAAGUUUGGGGGGUUUAACGGCUGUGGCCGUCGCCGCGCUCCAGGAUGCGAGUUUUGCAAGCUACUGCGCAUAGGAGGCUGCGGCAAGGCCGCCACUGUAUUUCGGGGGCGGCAGCGCUGCGGACAGCGGGCCGGUCCCCAACACCGAUCCCCCG
rnacentral:misc_RNA from 1 species